GUGAGGAAUAUUGCGCAAUGGGGGAAACCCUGACGCAGCAACGCCGCGUGGGUGAAGAAGGCCUUCGGGUCGUAAAGCCCUUUCGGACGGGACGAACGCUUCGCGGGGACAAUCCGCGAAGCCUGACGGUACCGUAAGAAGAAGCACCGGCUAACUCCGUGCCAGCAGCCGCGGUAAUACGGAGGGUGCGAGCGUUGUUCGGAAUUACUGGGCGUAAAGCGCGUGUAGGCGGCCCUGUAAGUCAGAUGUGAAAGCCCUCGGCUUAACCGGGGAAGUGCAUCUGAAACUGCUUGGCUUGAGUACGGGAGAGGGAGGCGGAAUUCCCAGUGUAGAGGUGAAAUUCGUAGAUAUUGGGAGGAACACCGGUGGCGAAAGCGGCCUCCUGGACCGAUACUGACGCUGAGACGCGAAAGCGUGGGGAGCAAACAGGAUUAGAUACCCCUGUAGUCC
rnacentral:rRNA from 1 species